AACGCACAUUGCGCCCGCCAGUAUUCUGGCGGGCAUGCCUGUCCGAGCGUCAUUUCAACACUCAAGCCCAGCUUGGUGUUGGGGAUCGGCCGCAGCGUACACCGCCGCGGCCGGCCCCGAAAUUCAGUGGCGGCCUCGCUGUAGCGUCUCCUGCGUAGUAGAAAUAUCUCGCAGUCGACCGCGGCGACGGCCCCGCCGUAAAACCCCCAACUUUCUGACGUUGACCUCGGAUCAGGUAGGAAUACCCGCUGAACUUAA
rnacentral:misc_RNA from 1 species